GCCGGGGCCGAGCCCUCCGCGACGCCACCGGGGCCAUGGGGGCCGCACGCAGCCCGCCGUCCGCUGUCCCGGGGCCCCUGCUGGGGCUGCUCCUGCUGCUCCUGGGCGUGCUGGCCCCGGGUGGCGCCUCCCUGCGACUCCUGGACCACCGGGCGCUGGUCUGCUCCCAGCCGGGGCUAAACUGCACGGUCAAGAAUAGUAAGUCAUCUUUUUCUGUUCUUCUUCUUGUUGCCUUCUUAAUCAAGUGAGAGCCUGCUGCCAACUUCUGACAGAAGUCCUGCCAUGCCACUCCAGGUUCAGGCUGUGAGCUACAGCCAUCCGCAGGAGGGUUCCCGGAGAAUUGUGGAUGCGUGCACCUGCGCUUCCUGUCGAGAACAUUCAUUAUGCAAAAGUCAGGAAAGGAGAAACAGAACUGUCAUUUGGAUUGUGAAAGUAUUCUCUGGGGUGCUGCCCUACUGUAUCUAUAAUACAAUUUGAUUUGCCACAGCUUGUCACUGUAAAGUGAGAGACAUCUGUGCUGUUGAUUUUGUUUUGUUUUAAUUCAAAGAGGCACAUAUUCAAGUGUCUGAGCCAAUUAGAGACCCCUGACAUAUAACAAUAAAGCAACUCUUACUACAACUG
rnacentral:sRNA from 1 species